rnacentral:rRNA from 1 species
AUUGAACGCUGGCGGCAUGCUUUACACAUGCAAGUCGAACGGUAACAGGCCGCAAGGUGCUGACGAGUGGCGAACGGGUGAGUAAUGCAUCGGAACGUGCCCAGUCGUGGGGGAUAACUACUCGAAAGAGUAGCUAAUACCGCAUACGAUCUAUGGAUGAAAGCGGGGGACCGUAAGGCCUCGCGCGAUUGGAGCGGCCGAUGUCAGAUUAGGUAGUUGGUGGGGUAAAGGCUCACCAAGCCAACGAUCUGUAGCUGGUCUGAGAGGACGACCGGCCACACUGGGACUGAGACACGGACCAGACUCCUACGGGAGGCAGCAGUGGGGAAUGUUGGACAAUGGGCGCAAGCCUGAUCCAGCAAUGCCGCGUGCAGGACGAAGGCCUUCGGGUUGUAAACUGCUUUUGUACGGAACGAAACGGCUCUGGUUAAUACCCGGGGUUAAUGACGGUACCGUAAGAAUAAGCACCGGCUAACUACGUG